AGUAAGGCUUCAUAACAAUAACGUGUAAAAAAUAAUGUUAUUCUUGUAAUAAAUUUAAAAAUUGUGAAAAUUAAAGUGAAAAUUAUUCUGAAUAAUUACUGAAAAAAGAAAGAACUUUAAUAAUUACAAAUGUUGAUAGUUACAGUAUGGAAUUCAUGACCAAGGAAAUGAUGACAUCAUUGAUAUCAGAAAUAUUGAUUAAAUAAAGUUGUUUUCCGGGGCACAACAAUUAUACACAGAAUAUCAUAAUUUUAUCGCUAAUUUACGUCAAAUAUUGAAACGAUAUGAGCUCAUAUUUAGAAUUUAAAUUGUGUAAUUAUUUUACUGAGUUUAUUGUUGGAAUGUAUUAUCAAUAUCUGUUCAUAAAUUAUUGAAAAUCCAUUAAAAAAAAACUAUUAAGAGUAUCGAAAUUAUUGAUAAAGUGAAAUUUAACUUAUCAUGGCCGCAAAUCAUUAACUUUUGUUCUUGACAUAAAUCAUAUGAAAUUUAAAAAAAAAAAAAGAUAGCGAGGAAUUAUGAUACGUGAAGAUAAUUUUAUAGAUAUCAUAUACACAAAAAUAUUUUCUAUAUUUCGUAUUUUUAAAUUAGAGUAGAAUCUAGAUCUAUGUCUAAAAUAAAGAAUUAAGUUCGGAUUGUCUUGAAUUUGAAAUAAAUUCAGAUUAAAUUCGAAUGAGACACACACGUGUUACUUUAAUCCGAUCCGAUCUAGCAAUUGAACUUUUAUUCGACUUUAAAUCGAAACACAAUAUAUUAAAAUAUAAUCCAAUAUUGCUCAGAAAUUAUAUGAAUAUUUACAUCAAAGUAUAAACAAUAAAUAAAACUACAACAUUUCUUUUAUAAAUUCAUUCUAAUUUACUCAUCGAUACAAAUUUCUAGUUUUAUUUGAUUCAAAUUUGAUCAAGUUAAAUUAACUUAAGACAUUUAAAUAUAUUUUGUAUAUAAUUUUAUAAAGAUCAUCAGAUUCAUAUUCAUCACAAGGCAUUCCCCUCGACACUAAAUAAAAGUUUUACUCGAUUUUAUCUUCUUCGUCGUUCUCCAUCAAUUGUGAACAGUGAAAUUCGUUCGAAAGUAAGAGUCACGAAUGUCGCGUGGCAAGCAAUGAACCGUUUCGGGCGAAAAACGUUCAUCAACGGUAAAUAACCAGCGAUUACUAUUUUUUCAACGCGGUUCUCCUCCGUUUCCUCGGUCACGAGGCCGCAGAACGGCGGUUUUCGUUUCACCGCAAAACCAGGAAAGUGUGAAAUCCCACGACGGCCUGUCGCAACGUAACUCGAAGCGGAACAAUUUUCUGCGUCCACGUUUGUCAAGUUUCUUUAAUCGGCCCCAUGGGCACACGACUCGCCUCUGGUUAAAUCAUCGAUAAUUGCCCGGCAGCCGGGCUAUCACGGAUUGGAAUUCAAUUUCCUUCAAAGUUCGCGAAAGAGACGGAGAAACCUCGACAGCUUUUCACGCGGGAACACCAAAAUUGGAUUCUUUUUAGCGAAACGAUUCGCGAUCGCCGAGUUUCUAGAAAGUUUCCACGACGAUUCUUUGCUUGGACCUCGAUGGAUAUCGUUAACUAUCGUUGGGAAAUGAAAGAGAUGAAAGAUUGAUUAUCGAUCGAAUUUUUUUGGGACAAAUUUUUUUAUAAGAUUAAUGGAAAACUUUGAAAAAUUGUGGUUGAAACGGAUAUUCUGUAUAUGCGUGACGAACGGCAUCAAUCAUUUAAUAUCUCUUAAUGAUCGCAGCUAUUGAAGAAACAAAUUGGUCCAAAGAUAAAUGAGAUUUUAGGGAAAGGAACACGUAAGCACGUCAAUCAGCAAAUUUCUAUGAGAAAUGCAUACUCGUACAAUCGAGUGGAACAAAUCCUUCGAAGAACAAACAUUUAAUAACAAUGAACUCUGAAACUGAUACGAUCUCUUUUCGCUUGGCGGGAUUGUUAGACAAUUGGCUGAAUUCAGGGCUAGGAAAUUGCGUAUACGUUCCCUAUGUACGCACAUACACCCGUGAACACGUGAGAUGUGCAAUGGAUCGCUAAGCUUGUCUUGCACGAUCGCACAAUGCUCGACUGAGUUGCCAAAGUGCCAUCGAUUUCUUCCAUCUCGUCGAAGAAAUUGCACGUUUGCGCGUAUACUGUGAACCACACACAAACGAUGCUACGAGAAAUCGUACGCAUACGAUAUUUCUUGUGUCUUUGGUUGUUCUUGGGUAAAUCCUCCCUAAGAGAAUAAGAAGCUUGUCACUGAAAAUAAAAUCGAGACGAAAUGAACACGGAUACGUUUAAUUUUGUGGCGAAUAAUAUUACGAUCAUGCAUAGUUUCGUGAUAAAAAGUAAACGUUCCAAGACAAUUAUUAUUCCUAGAAAGCGGAAUUUUAGUUCUCAGACUUGAAAUUUUUUUUAGGAAGAAGUUGGAGGAAGAUUUUAAUAAAAUGUUAUUUUCUUCUUACUUAUGCAAAGGAUAUUAUCAUUGUUGAAUAUUGGAGGGAAAGUUUUCUGAAAUUGCUUGAACUCUCUAAUCCCUUUCUUAUUAAAGUGUAUAUCGGUGAAGUUAUCAGUCGUUGCAAUAAAAAUGAUAGUGCCACGACGGCACUGCCAGCUGCGUGACUCUCACGAAUCAACAGGAACAAUUGGUAAACGCGACCAGAUGGACGUAUAGACUUUAUCUUUGGUGUUCAACACGAAACGACAACACGAAAUUACAAUUCAAAUAUGUAUGAAAGCUAUUCUGUCAAAGAUAUUUUCUCGAUUGGCACAAUAUGAUUCCUCUUUCAUCGAACGAAUUAAUGAAUUAUCCGUGAAAUUUCUUCAAAUCUCAUGCUAAUAUUUUCUCUGUAAUUUUAAACAAAUAUUUUUAAUAAAUUGUGUAUUAUUUUAUAGA
rnacentral:lncRNA from 1 species